AAAACUGGACGGUCGGAUCGGGCCGUCUCCCACUCUGCUCGCAGCCUCGCCGAAACCCCACGAACCCCGAAGGCGAUGGCGAUCCAUGGCGGCGGCGGGUUGGCUCCGGCGAGCGGCAUCAGCGGCGGCGUUGCCUCGCCUAUCUUAUGGACUCACCAUCAUCCCAACCCACAGAGAAGAAGCUCUCGUCGCUUAUCCUCCCGUUAUAUUCCGUUUUUUGUUCCUGACACCUACAUAUCUAGAAAUAUAAGAAGGGUUUGAGAAAUGGGCCCAAAGCCCUGAAGCCUGUUCCAGUAAUUGCCCGUUGCAGUGAGUACAAGACAGAGGCGCGAAGCGUGGUUGGAAAACAGGGUUGGGCCCUCCAACACGGCGACAGAAGAAUUGCAGUGAAAAAGGCUAUGAAAAACAGAAGUACCGGGGAAGGUUCGCAUGUUCCUUUGGAGGUUAUCUAAACACUCUAUACCAACUAAUGACGUUAGGGCGCAUCCACACAUGUCAGACUCCAGCGCAUGCGGCAUUUGCGGCGCCCCAGAUUCAUGGAGACAUUUCCUCUUGAAAUGCGGUUUCAUCAACAGGUAUCUUCAAGAUCUGAACCUGCUGGCUGCACCUACUCUUAACCAGACUCAACAAGCUGCUCAUUUGGCCAAUGCAAAUACUCGACGCCCAAAAGCACCACCAGCGGGCCAUGCAAAGAUUCAUGUCGAUGCUGCUUGUCGUAAGGGACUAGGAGGCGCAGUGGCAGCUGUUUGCUGUGAUGAAACGGGCGCUUAUCUGGGAAACUCAGCCCUCGUGAUUGCAGGAGUUGACGACCCUGAAAUUCUGGAAACAAUAGCCUACAGGGAGGCGCUAGCAUUGGCACAAGAUCUCAACAUCCAAAGCCUUGUUGUUGCAUCAGGCUCUAAGGGAGCAUAUGGAGCUAUCAACAACAGAAACGAUGGAACCAAUGGUGCAAUCAUCUCGGAGAUUCAUAGUAUAGCUUUUACUUUGAGUUGUAGUUUUACAUUUGAAGGUCGUGCCGUUAAUGUUGAGGCAUAUAGAUUAGCCAAGUAUACAUUUUCUUUAGGUCCGGGGCGACACAUUUGGCUAGGCCAACCCCAUGACCAAAGAUGUA